AUUGAGCGCUGGCGGCAGGCCUAACACAUGCAAGUCGAACGGUAACAGGAAGCAGCUUGCUGCUUCGCUGACGAGUGGCGGACGGGUGAGUAAUGUCUGGGAAACUGCCUGAUGGAGGGGGAUAACUACUGGAAACGGUAGCUAAUACCGCAUAAUGUCGCAAGACCAAAGAGGGGGACCUUCGGGCCUCUUGCCAUCGGAUGUGCCCAGAUGGGAUUAGCUAGUAGGUGGGGUAACGGCUCACCUAGGCGACGAUCCCUAGCUGGUCUGAGAGGAUGACCAGACACACUGGAACUGAGACACGGUCCAGACUCCUACGGGAGGCAGCAGUGGGGAAUAUUGCACAAUGGGCGCAAGCCUGAUGCAGCCAUGCCGCGUGUAUGAAGAAGGCCUUCGGGUUGUAAAGUACUUUCAGCGGGGAGGAAGGCGAUAAGGUUAAUAACCUUGUCGAUUGACGUUAUCCGCAGAAGAAGCACCGGCUAACUCCGUGCCAGCCGCCGCCGUAA
rnacentral:rRNA from 1 species